GCAAGUCGAGGGGCAGCAUCAUUAAAGCUUGCUUUGAUGGAUGGCGACCGGCGCACGGGUGAGUAACACGUAUCCAACCUGCCGACAACACUGGGAUAGCCUUUCGAAGGAAAGAUUAAUACCAGAUGGCAUAGUCUUCCCGCAUGGGAUGACUAUUAAAGAAUUUCGGUUGUCGAUGGGGAUGCGUUCCAUUAGGCAGUUGGCGGGGUAACGGCCCACCAAACCAACGAUGGAUAGGGGUUCUGAGAGGAAGGUCCCCCACAUUGGAACUGAGACACGGUCCAAACUCCUACGGGAGGCAGCAGUGAGGAAUAUUGGUCAAUGGACGAGAGUCUGAACCAGCCAAGUAGCGUGAAGGAUGACUGCCCUAUGGGUUGUAAACUUCUUUUAUACGGGAAUAAAGUGAGCCACGUGUGGCUUUUUGUAUGUACCGUAUGAAUAAGGAUCGGCUAACUCCGUGCCAGCAGCCGCGGUAAUACGGAGGAUCCGAGCGUUAUCCGGAUUUAUUGGGUUUAAAGGGAGCGUAGGCGGGUUGUUAAGUCAGUUGUGAAAGUUUGCGGCUCAACCGUAAAAUUGCAGUUGAUACUGGCGACCUUGAGUGCAACAGAGGUAGGCGGAAUUCGUGGUGUAGCGGUGAAAUGCUUAGAUAUCACGAAGAACUCCGAUUGCGAAGGC
rnacentral:rRNA from 1 species